rnacentral:rRNA from 1 species
UUAGACAGCUGGCGGCAUGCCUUACACAUGCAAGUCGAACGGAUUGAGGGGCUUGCUCCUCAGUUAGUGGCGAACGGGUGAGUAAUGCAUCGGAACGUGCCCAGUCGUGGGGGAUAACUACUCGAAAGAGUAGCUAAUACCGCAUACGCCCUGAGGGGGAAAGCGGGGGACUCGCAAGAGCCUCGCGCGAUUGGAGCGGCCGAUGUCAGAUUAGCUAGUUGGUAGGGUAAAAGCCUACCAAGGCGACGAUCUGUAGCUGGUCUGAGAGGACGACCAGCCACACUGGGACUGAGACACGGCCCAGACUCCUACGGGAGGCAGCAGUGGGGAAUUUUGGACAAUGGGCGAAAGCCUGAUCCAGCCAUGCCGCGUGAGUGAAGAAGGCCUUCGGGUUGUAAAGCUCUUUCGGACAGAAAGAAAUCGCACGGGCUAAUACCCAGUGUGGAUGACGGUACUGUAAGAAGAAGCACCGGCUAACUACGUGCCAGCAGCCGCGGUAAUACGUAGGGUGCGAGCGUUAAUCGGAAUUACUGGGCGUAAAGGGUGCGCAGGCGGUUAUAUAAGACAGAUGUGAAAUCCCCGGGCUCAACCUGGGAACUGCGUUUGUGACUGUAUGACUAGAGUACGGUAGAGAGGGGUGGAAUUCCUGGUGUAGCAGUGAAAUGCGUAGAUAUCAGGAGGAACAUCGAUGGCCGAAGGCAGCCCCCUUGGACCUGUACUGACGCUCAUGCACGAAAGCGUGGGGGAGCAAACAGGAUUUAGAUACCCUGGGUAGUCCACGCCCU